UACGGGAGGCAGCAGUGGGGAAUAUUGCACAAUGGGCGCAAGCCUGAUGCAGCCAUGCCGCGUGUAUGAAGAAGGCCUUCGGGUUGUAAAGUACUUUCAGUCGUGAGGAAGGUGUUAAGGUUAAUAACCUUAGCAAUUGACGUUAGCGACAGAAGAAGCACCGGCUAACUCCGUGCCAGCAGCCGCGGUAAUACGGAGGGUGCGAGCGUUAAUCGGAAUUACUGGGCGUAAAGGGCACGCAGGCGGUUAAUUAAGUUGGAUGUGAAAUCCCCGGGCUUAACCUGGGAAUGGCAUUCAAGACUGGUUAGCUAGAGUCUUGUAGAGGGGGUAGAAUUCCAUGUGUAGCGGUGAAAUGCGUAGAGAUGUGGAGGAAUACCGGUGGCGAAGGCGGCCCCUGGACAAAGCUGACGCUCA
rnacentral:rRNA from 1 species